UUUAUAUGUUCUCUAUAUUCGUAAACACACUGUAAUCCUUAAAAUGAGUUGAUAGGAACCAGUGUGUUGUGGCAGAUUUGCAAUGUCUAUAUACAUGUAAACGAGAUCAUUCCUUUAAUUUAAUAAUUUUCUUAUUGCAGGGGGAAAAUUCCUACAUUCGUGUCAAAGAAGAUUAUGGAGGAUCUAGUCCAGCCUCGGGCGGUGGUGGGGGUGGUCGUGGACGGUCACGGUCCCGAUCGCGUUCACCUCGUGGAUACCGAGGUUCUCCCACUUACUCUCCAGUGCGACGAUCAUACUCACGGUCACCCUCACGAUCUCGGUCUAGGUCCCGAGAGCGUUACUAAAGUCUGAAAUGAGUACAGUAUGUGAUUCCUGGUACAAGUCUUGGGUUGAGAAGAAUGAAGAAUAUCUAGCCCACAUGACUACCUAUUGGAGUUACCCAAUUUUGUGAUGGGUGCCAAGUAAUAGGCUGCAGCAUCCUAUUUGGACUCAUCUUUAAAAGGAGCUGUGAUCUCCACACUGACCUCGGGUGCCCUGAGCUGACCUGACAGUGUCUCCGGACCCAUACAGCCGUUGGCACUGGACUGGAGGACGUCAGUCCCGUAGCUAGUAGGCUGCUGCAAUAUGGCCAUCCUUCCUGCCAAAUUAUCGUAGAUUUUGGAAAGCUAGGAUUUGAGAAGUGGAGGAGGAGCAUUCACAGUGGCAUGGACGAGAGGCUCAAUCAGGAUCAGAGGAUCAGGAGGAUACAAUGCUGCAGCAAGCUAGCACGGGGAGGAUCACACUAAUGGAUAACUUGGAUCAAAAAGGAUGAGAUGCUCUCAUAAGGAUCUCACACUUGGCCUUACCAAGGAGACAAAAGGAUUAUGCGGGGACAGGUUCUGCGCUUGGAGGAACUCACUGGAGGAUCAUGGAUCACUUGUGGAUAAGGAUUUGAAUCGGUCAAGGGAUUCACCAAGUAGCAGAGGACUGGAUUUGUGAGUUAAGAAUUCACCUUCCCUCCCCUCAAUUGCCUGAACUUGAUCAUUAAAUUCCCGCCAUAGUCCUCUAGUUAGUACAAAAGUUUAAAGUUGCCAGUCUAUUGACAUGAAUAUGAAAUCCUCUUAGAUUAUUUCAAUGGGGUGAUUAAAAGGAGAGAUUUUCUUUUAAAGAUAUAACAAAUUUUAUUGAUAAACAGAAAUAAUUUUUGCUACAGGUAGGACGAAUGUUAAGUCGUAAGGGGCAAUUAAAAGCGAACGAUCUCGGUCAUUAUUAAUGAAAUUUUCUUUUCCAGCAGCAUUAGCCUUCAAGGACAACUGUUAAAACUGCAUUGAGUCAUCAAUAAAAUAUUAAUGUUG